rnacentral:rRNA from 1 species
UACGUAGGUGGCAAGCGUUGUCCGGAUUUACUGGGCGUAAAGAGCGCGCAGGCGGUCGGAUUAGUCGCGUGUGAAAGCCCCCGGCUCAACUGGGGAGGGUCACGCGAUACUGUUCGACUCGAAGGCAGGAGAGGGAAGUGGAAUUCCCGGUGUAGUGGUGAAAUGCGUAGAUAUCGGGAGGAACACCAGUGGCGAAGGCGACUUCCUGGCCUGUUCUUGACGCUGAUGCGCGAAAGCCAGGGGAGCGAACGGG